AUUGAACGCUGGCGGCAGGCCUAACACAUGCAAGUCGAGCGGAGCGGCGGACGGGCGAGUAAUGCCUGGGAAUCUGCCUGGUAGUGGGGGAUAACGUCCGGAAACGGGCGCUACUAUCGCAUACUAUCAGAUGAGCCUAGGUGGGAUUAGCUAGUUGGUGGGGUAAAGGCCUACCAAGGCGACGAUCCGUAACUGGUCUGUGAGGAUGAUCAGUCACACUGGAACUGGGAGACGGUCCAGACUCCUACGGGAGGCAGCAGUGGGGAAUAUUGGACAAUGGGCGAAAGCCUGAUCCAGCCAUGCCGCGUGUGUGAAGAAGGUCUUCGGAUUGUAAAGCACUUUAAGUUGAGAGGCGUUACCAACAGAAUAAGCACCGGCUAGCUUCGUGCCAGCGGACGGGGUAAUAC
rnacentral:rRNA from 1 species